UAGGGAAUAUUGGACAAUGGGGGCAACCCUGAUCCAGCCAUGCCGCGUGAGUGAAGAAGGCCCUCGGGUUGUAAAGCUCUUUUGUCCGGAAAGAAAAGCUUCGGGUUAAUACCCCGGGGUUCUGACGGUACCGACAGAAAAAGCACCGGCUAACUACGUGCCAGCAGCCGCGGUAAUACGUAGGGUGCGCGCGUUAAUCGGAAUUACUGGGCGUAAAGGGUGAGCAGGCGGUCUUGCAAGUCAGAUGUGAAAGCCCCGGGCUUAACCUGGGAAUUGCGUUUGAAACUACAAGACUAAAGUGCAGCAGAGGGGAGUCGAAUUCCAUGUGUCGCAGUGAAAUGCGUGGAGAUGUGGAAGAAUACCGAUGGCGAAGGCAGCUCCCUGGGUUGACACUGACGCUCAUGCACGAAAGCGUGGGGAGCAAACA
rnacentral:rRNA from 1 species